rnacentral:pre_miRNA from 1 species
AAACUACUCCCUCCGUUCGGAAUUACUUGUCUCGGAAAUGGAUGUAUCUAGAACUAAAAUACAUCUAGAUACAUCCAUUUCUGCGACAAGUAAUUCCGAACGGAGGGAGUAGUUC